rnacentral:rRNA from 1 species
AUUGAACGCUGGCGGCAGGCCUAACACAUGCAAGUCGAACGAGUGGCGGACGGGUGAGUAAUGUCUGGGUAACUGCCUGAUGGCGGGGGAUAACUACUGGAAACGGUAGCUAAUACCGCAUACCAUCAGAUGUUCCCAGAUGGGAUUAGCUUGUUGGUGGGGUAACGGCGCACCAAGGCGAAGAUCCCUAGCUGGUCUGAGAGGAUGACCAGACAAACUGGAACUGGACAACGUGCCAGACUCCUACGGGAGGCAGCAGUGGGGAAUAUUGCACAAUGGGCGAAAGACUGAUGCAGCCAUGCCGCGUGUAUGAAGAAGGCCUUCGGGUUGUAAAGUACUUUCAGCGGGGAGGCGUUACCCGCAGAAGAAGCACCGGCUAACUCCGUGCCAGCAGCCGCGGUAAUAC